AUUGAACGCUGGCGGCAGGCCUAACACAUGCAAGUCGAACGAGAGGCGGACGGGUGAGUAAUGUCUGUGACACUGCCUGAUGGAGGGGGAUAACUACUGGAAACUGUAACUAAUACCGCAUACCAUCAGAUGUGCCCAGAUGGGAUUAGCUAGUGGGUGGGGUAACGGCUCACCAAGGCGACGAUCCCUAGCUGGUCUGAGAGUGUGACCAGCCACACUGGAACUGAGACACGGUCCAGACGCCUACGGGAGGCAGCAGGGGGGAAUAUUGCACAAUGGGCGCAAGCCUGAUGCAGCCAUGCCGCGUGUAUGAAGAAGGCCUUCGGAUUGUAAAGUACUUUCAGCUGGGAGGCGUUACCCGCAGAAGAAGCACCGGCUAACUCCGUGCCAGCAGCCGCGGUAAUAC
rnacentral:rRNA from 1 species